rnacentral:rRNA from 1 species
AUUGAACGCUGGCGGCAUGCCUUACACAUGCAAGUCGAACGGCAGCACGGGGCAACCUGGUGGCGAGUGGCGAACGGGUGAGUAAUGCAUCGGAACGUGCCAUUGAGUGGGGGAUAACGUAGCGAAAGUUGCGCUAAUACCGCAUAUUCUGUGAGCAGGAAAGCAGGGGACCGCAAGGCCUUGCGCUCUUUGAGCGGCCGAUGUCAGAUUAGCUAGUUGGUGAGGUAACGGCUUACCAAGGCGACGAUCUGUAGCGGGUCUGAGAGGAUGAUCCGCCACACUGGAACUGAGACACGGUCCAGACUCCUACGGGAGGCAGCAGUGGGGAAUUUUGGACAAUGGGCGCAAGCCUGAUCCAGCCAUGCCGCGUGAGUGAAGAAGGCCCUCGGGUUGUAAAGCUCUUUUGUCCGGAAAGAAAAGCAUCUGGUUAAUACCCGGGUGUUCUGACGGUACCGGAAGAAUAAGCACCGGCUAACUUCGUGCC